ensembl:lncRNA
GUUUGUUCUAAACAUUUCAUUUUGCUGUUUCAUUGUGAAAUAAUUUAACUUUCAUAGCAGCAGUAAAUAGACGUCAUUCAUGACACUGAGAUCUGUGAGCUCAGCAGAGUGAACUCAGAUUUUCAAAUUAAAAUAUUCUUUUAAAAAUGAGCAAAAACCAAAACAAAACAGAGAGACUUGCUCUCAGUCCAGGAUGUCCUUUAUUGCGUCCAUCCUUCUCUUGUCCUCCUGUGUGACCUGCAGGUGAGAAACAGGUGUGAGGUGUCAGCUGUCAGGUAGGUGAUGAUGAAGAACAGAACAGAAUCCGUUUGCUCUUCAAACUGCUGUCAGACAUUAUCUACUGCACUCUGAUCACAUCACUCAGACAAGCUGCUUUCUACAAAGUCUCAUUGAUGGGUCUGUCUAGCAGACCAGACCAGAUACAGAGUAGGUGUCCGCCACUCCCCUGCACCUGUGUCAGUUUCCCAGGUAAGGGGGGCUGGGGCCCAGUUGGUCCCUGCUUCAGUUUCCGGGGCCGGCUGGUCCCUGCACCCGUAUCAGCUCCUUGGGUGUAGACAGCAGCUGUCCAGUCGCUGCCAAAAUCUGCACCGACCCCCGAGGUGAGGUCCGCCAGGACAACGCUAGCCUCCGCACCUGUACCCACUCCUCGGGUGGGAGUGGACCAACUUCACAAUCUCUUUUGCAGCCCAUAGCUCAGCCAUUAGCCCCGCUACCUGUAGCAGUUCAGCCUGCUGUGCAGUCGCCCUCAGUUCAGCCCAUUUACAACAUGAUCCGAAGAUCCGUUGUAUAUGAGCAGGAAUAGUUUAAAGUUAUGGCUGAACUGUCCCAGGCAUCUUCUGUUGCCCAACUACAAAUGGGUGGACCUCCAGGUCAACGGAAAGCCACGUGACCGUGAGAGUUCCUUAUAUCACAGUGCAGUGGUAGAUACAAAGCCCUGUACUGCCCUAUAUUGCACCUUAAUUUGUUUUUAUAUAAUUGCGUGGAAUGAGUCUUGAGUUGAAUUUUUUUAAUAGGCAAAAAAUAUUUAAUAUAUUUAAAUAAGUUAAUAAGUAAAUGUUAAAAUUUUGUCUUUUUUUCUUUUUUUGCUGAUCCGAAAAUUGAUCCGAUCCGUGACUUAAAACCGUGAUCCGAUCUGAACCGUGAGAUGUUUGAUCCGUUGCACCACUACACACAAGUGUAAUGUUUUUGACUCAUCUAGCUGAUUUUUGUCCACAUUCAAUCAUGCCUCACCUCACAAAGGCC